rnacentral:rRNA from 1 species
UACGGAGGGGGCUAGCGUUGUUCGGAAUUACUGGGCGUAAAGCGCACGUAGGCGGCUUUGUAAGUUAGAGGUGAAAGCCUGGAGCUCAACUUCAGAAUAGCCUUUAAGACUGCAUCGCUUGAAUCCAGGAGAGGUGAGUGGAAUUCCGAGUGUAGAGGUGAAAUUCGUAGAUAUUCGGAAGAACACCAGUGGCGAAGGCGACUUACUGGACACAUAUUGACGCUGAGGCACGAAAGCUAGGGGAGCAAACAGG